AAUUGCACUUGUCCCGGCCUGA
rnacentral:miRNA from 1 species